CACUGGGUGACUAAUCCGGGCGGAACUGUAGUGUGGGAAAUAUUUCCGCCCGGACCAAUUUAAGUGAAACAUAAGUUCUGUUCCGGUUGGCCCAAGGCGGGGAAAUUAUCCAAAAUACAUGUCAGGUGUGGGAAGAGGACGUGUUGGAAACCGAUUGGAGGAUCGGGAAGGAUGCAGUGAUAUAAAAGGGGCUGGUUUAUGAACAGGAGGAGGUUUUUGUUCUGCUGUUGUUCCACGGGAUACGGAAGUGGCUGGUGUGGCGUGGAUGUUGCGAUUUACGGGCUGCAACGGAGAAUCCAAGGAAAAUGGAUAUUGGAAGUGCGGAGGAAGUUAAGUGAUCGACCUUUUGUAUGUUGUGUUUACCUCUUAUUGUGGAUUGAGUUGAAGGAGCGAUCCUACGUUUGGAAGGCCCCUGAGUGAAGGAGAUCAUUGAAUUCGUGUUGGGAGAGGACAACACUGUGCACUGUGUUGAUAGUAGUGCCUUGCGUUGGAGAUCGCUGGGAAAGACGGAGAGACUCCGGUGUACGAUAUAUCUGCCUGCUGUGGUCUGCCCUCCUGCCUUUGUCCAUCUGACCCGCCCUGUCAGGACUCUGAGCCCGAAACGGGAAUACACCACCGAUCUUCUUUCACUGAGUGUGUGGAGUGUGGUGAGUGCUGCUAUAUUGAAGUGUACACACGAGAAGAAUUGUAGUGUCUUUGUGGUGUGUGGUGUUUGUCCGUGGUUGUGUCCCUGGUCGUAGGAAGAGGCCUGACGGAGAGGAGUAGUGUAUUGGUGGCAACCACAGUCUUUACCUUAAGUAAGCUGGAGCUCGGACGUGUUGGAGGCACCUCUGGAGGAGGUUGGAUGUCGUUGCCCACGCAGCAAUCCCUGUAAGCUUUUAAAUCAAAGCCUUAUCCUUUUUUAUCCAUGUGACGUUGUGUCCUUGGCCCUGUCGGCAACCACCGGCCUUGUGCGUGUCGUCUGUGCUGUUUAUUUGACGAGGGAAGCGAAGGACAACAGCCGAUCCUCCCCCGUGUGCCCCCUUGUCAAGCUGGGCGGGAAGCCCAGUAUUGUUUGCAGUUUCAACUGUAAGGCCCACCAGCCGUCAGUCAUCGACUAAACCCGUAUCUGCUUGGAAUACAGACCUCUGAAUAUCUUCAGUGGUGAGUAGCGCAUUAACAGCCCAGCCCCGUGAAUACUCACCUGUGUAUUGAACCCUGUACUUACAUUGAGAGCUAGAACCCCUGCACGCUAACAGCUCAGCCCUGUGAAUACUUACCUGUGUAUCGAACACUGUACUUACCUGAGAGCUAGAACCCCUGCACGCUAACAGCCCAGCCCUGUGAAUACCCACCUGUGUAUGGAACACUGUAUUUACAUUGAGAGCUAGAACCCCUGCACGCUAACAGCUCAGCCCUGUGAAUACUUACCUGUGUAUCGAACACUGUACUUACCUGAGAGCUAGAACCCCUGCACGCUAACAGCCCAGCCCUGUGAAUACUUACCUGUGUAUCGAACACUGUACUUACCUGAGGGCUAGAACCCCUGCACGCUAACAGCCCAGCCCUGUGAAUACCCACCUGUGUAUCGAACACUGUAUUUACCUGAGAGCUAGAACCCCUGCACGCUAACAGCCCAGCCCUGUGAAUACUUACCUGUGUAUCGAACACUGUACUUACCUGAGAGCUAGAACCCCUGCACGCUAACAGCCCAGCCCUGUGAAUACCCACCUGUGUAUCGAACACUGUAUUUACCUGAGAGCUAGAACCCCUGCACGCUAACAGCCCAGCCCUUUGAAUACUUACCUGUGUAUGGAACACUGUACUUACUUGAGAGCUAGAACCCCUGCACGCUAACAGCUUAGCCCUGUGAAUACUCACCUGUGUAUUGAACUCUGUAUUUACCUGAGAGCUAGAACCCCUGCACGUCAACUGCCUAGCUCUUGCUUUAAACUUACCUGGAGUGGAGUCGGCGGGAAAUUAAGGGCUGAAGUGGAGUGUUGUCGAGGAAGGGCUGAAGAGGAGUGUUCUUGAGACUGGAAUCCGUAUUUGUGGAUAAAGAAUAGUUCGAGUCAUCAUUAGUUUUAAAGUUUCCUUACCCCUUUCCCCAAACUUUUAAACAAAUAAAAUUGUUACAUUUUAA